UCCGGUUUGUCACCGGCAGUUCCCCAUGAGUCCCCGGCAUUACCCGCUGGCAACAUGGAACAGGGGUUGCGCUCGUUGCGCCACUUAAGGCAACACCUCACGGCACGAGCUGACGACAGCCAUGCAGCACCUGUGCCGGCUCCCGAAGGAGCACCGUGUUUCCACGGCUUUACCCGGCAUGUCAAGCCCUGGUAAGGUUCUUCGCGUUGCGUCGAAUUGAGCCACAUGCUCCGCCGCUUGUGCGGGCCCCCGUCAAUUCAUUUGAGUUUUAACCUUGCGGCCGUACUCCCCAGGCGGUCAACUUAGUGCGUUAGCUGCGCCACCGAUGGCUGAACCACCAACGUCUAGCGCGCAUCGUUUACGGCGUGGACUAC
rnacentral:misc_RNA from 1 species